GGGGCAGCAUGGUCUUAGCUUGCUAAGGCUGAUGGCGACCGGCGCACGGGUGAGUAACACGUAUCCAACCUGCCGUCUACUCUUGGCCAGCCUUCUGAAAGGAAGAUUAAUCCAGGAUGGGAUCAUGAGUUCACAUGUCCGCAUGAUUAAAGGUAUUUUCCGGUAGACGAUGGGGAUGCGUUCCAUUAGAUAGUAGGCGGGGUAACGGCCCACCUAGUCAACGAUGGAUAGGGGUUCUGAGAGGAAGGUCCCCCACAUUGGAACUGAGACACGGUCCAAACUCCUACGGGAGGCAGCAGUGAGGAAUAUUGGUCAAUGGGCGAUGGCCUGAACCAGCCAAGUAGCGUGAAGGAUGACUGCCCUAUGGGUUGUAAACUUCUUUUAUAAAGGAAUAAAGUCGGGUAUGCAUACCCGUUUGCAUGUACUUUAUGAAUAAGGAUCGGCUAACUCCGUGCCAGCAGCCGCGGUAAUACGGGAGGAUCCGAGCGUUAUCCGGAUUUAUUGGGUUUAAAGG
rnacentral:rRNA from 1 species